GGACGUCUUUGCAUGGUCAUACUAGGAUAUGCCUGGUCUAAGUACCGAUGUCGCAGUGCAUCGUGUCCCUACAAAAAAUAAUUGCAAGCCAGUUCAGCAGAAGCUCCGAAGGAUGAGACCCCGAUGUAGCAAUGGAAAUAAAGGAAGAAGCCAAGAAACAGUUUAAUGCUAGAUUCCUACAGGUGGUCAAUUAUUCAGAAUGGGUGGCCAACGUUGUCCCUGUCCCUAAGAAAGAUGGGAAAGUGCAGAUGUGUGUAGAUUAAAGAGAUUUAAACAAGGCCAGCCCAAAGGAUAACUUUUCAUUGCCUCACAUAGGAUAACUUUUCAUUGCCUCACAUAGACACUCUAGUGGAUAAUACGGCAGGCUAUUCACUGUUCUCCAUCAUGGAUGGGUUCUCCGGGUACAAUCAGAUCAAGAUGCAUCAUGAGGACAGGGAAAAAAUCACAUUUAUAACUUUAUGGGGAAUGUUUUGCUACAAGGUGAUGCCCUUCAGGUUGAAAAAUGCAGGACCCACAUACCAAAAAGCCAUGGUAACCUUGUUCCAUGACAUGAUGCACAAGGAAAUUGAGGUCUACGUUGACGACAUGAUUGUAAAAUCCCAAACUGAAGAGGAGCAUGUGCGAGUGUUGAGGAAAUUAUUCCUGAGGUUGAGAAAAUUUCAAUUAAAGCUCAAUCCGUCAAAAUACACCUUCGGAGCUAGGUCCGGAAAGCUACUCGGCUUCGUAGUCAGUGAAAAGGGAAUAGAAGUCGACCCUGAUAAAGUCAAGGCUAUACAGGAGCUGCCUCCGCCACGAACUCAGAAAGAAGUUUGAGGUUUCCUAGGGAGACUAAACUAUAUCGCACGGUUUAUUUCACAACUGACUGAGAAGUGUGACCCCAUAUUUCGUAUUCUUAAAAAGCACAAUCCUGGGGUAUGGGAUGAUGAAUGCCAAGAAACCUUUGAAAAGGUUAAACAAUAUUUGUCCAGUCCUCCAGUGCUAACACUACCAAGCCCUGGUAGACCAUUGAUACUGUACUUAACAAUAUUUGAUAAUUCGAUGGGGUGUGUGCUCGGCCAACACGAUGAGACUGGGAGAAAAAAAGAGCGAUAUAUUAUCUCAGUAAAAAAUUCACUGAGUGUGAAAUGAGGUAUCCGCCAAUUGAGAAGCUCUGUUGUGCUUUGUUUUGGACAACACGAAGGUUGAGGCAAUACAUGUUGUACCAUACAACUUGGCUAAUCUCAAAGCUAAACGCUCUCAAAUACAUGAUGGAGUCAACAUUUUAAAUGGAAUGAUGGCCCGAUGACAGAUUCUACUCUCUGAAUUUGACAUAGUCUAUGUAAACCAAAAAGCUGUGAAGGGGAUUGCAAUAGCAGACUUCCUAGCCAGUAGAGCUUUGGAGGACUAUGAACCUUUGAAUUUCAGUUUCCCCAAUAAAGAUCUAGUGUAUGUAGCAAUCGCUGAAGGAGACAUGCCUGAAGAUCAUUCUUGGAAAUUAAAUUUUGACGGAGCAUCAAUUGCCGUUGGAAAUGGAGUUAGGGCAAUACUGAUAUCCCCAAAUGGAUAUCAUUAUUCAUUCACUUGCAAGCUGGAUUUUGACUGCACAAAUAAUAUGGCAGAAUACGAGGCAUGUAUCAUGGGAAUUGAAGCAGCUAUAGAAGGCGAAAUCAAAGUACUAGAAGUUUAUGGAGAUUCUGCAUUGGUAAUUUAUCAACUUAUAAGCGAGUGGGAAACAAGAAAUCCCAAAUUGAUCAGUUACCGAAAGCUAAUCCUGGAGUUAAUUGAAGAGUUUGAUGACAUUACCUUUCAUUACCUCCCCAAGACGAGAAUCAGAUCGCUGACGCCUUGGCUACACUAGCUUCCUUGAUCAAAGUAAAUAGACAGGAGGAUAUGAAGCCAAUUCAAAUGAGUAUCUGUGAGGCUUCAGCUCACUACUGUAAUAUCGAUGAAGAGGAAGAGAGAGAUGAUCAUCCUUGGUAUCAUGAUAUCUUACAAUAUGUGAAGAGCCGUACGUACCCAGAUCAAGCAACCGAAAAUGAUAAAAGAACAUUGAGGAGGUUAGCCAGUGACUAUGUCCUAGACGGUAAGGUCCUAUAUAAGAGGAGAAAAGAUCAGGAGUUGCUAAGAUGUGUUGACGCUGUUGAGGCAAAGAAAAUUCUAGAGGAAGUCCAUGAUGGUGUCUGUGGGACACAUGCCAAUGGUUUCACAAUGGCUCGACAGAUCAUGAGAUUCGGAUAUUACUGGUCUACAAUGGAAGGAGAUUGUAUCAAUUACGCUAAGAAGUGCCAUAAGUGUCAAAUUUAUGGAGACAAGAUCUAUGUGCCUCCUUCACCCCUCCAUUUUAUGACUUCCCCAUGGCCAUUCUCAAUGUGGGGCAUGGACAUCAUUGGGCCGAUUUCGCCAAAGGCUUCCAAUGGACAUCGAUUCAUUUUUGUGGUCAUUGACUACUUUACCAAAUGGGUAGAGGCUACUUCGUACGCCAAUGUCACAAAGUCGGCGGUCAGCAAGUUCUUGAAGAAAGAGAUCGUAUGCCGUUAUGAUAUGCCAGAAAGAAUCGUAUCUGACAACGCGUUGAAUCUGAACAAUAGCGUAAUAACAGAAGUCUACAGCCGGUUCAACAUUAAACAUCACAACUCGUCACCAUACCGCCCGAAAAUGAAUGGGGCGGUUGAGGCAGCUAAUAAGAACAUCAAGAAGAUUGUGGGGAAGAUGGCAGAGACCUACAAAGAUUGGCAUAAAAAGCUCCCAUUUGCCCUUUAUGCUUAUCGGACAUCUGUCAGAACUUCUACUGGGGUAACACCUUUCUCAUUAGUUUAUGGGAUGGAGGCAGUUUUACCUAUUGAGGUCAAAAUCCCUUCUCUUCGAGUUUUAUCAGAGCUGAAGUUGGACGAAGCAGAAUGGAUCCAAUCUCGUUACAAUCAACUAAACUUGAUUGAAGAGAGGAGGCUGAAUGCUAUUUGUCAUGGUCAAAUGUACCAGAGGAGAAUGAUGCGAGCCUACAACAAAAAAGUUCGCCCUAAGGUAUUCCAUAAGAGGGACUGAGUAUUGAAAAAGAUUCUCCUUAUGCAGAAAGAUUUCAGGGGGAAAUGGAUGCCAAAUUGGGAAGGACCCUAUGUGGUAAAAAAAGCUUUCUCUGGAGGGGCAUUGAUACUAGCAGAGAUGGAUGGCAAGAGCUUGCCUAACCCGAUAAAUUUAGAUUCUGUCAAAAGAUAUUUUGCUUGAAGCAGUUGAGGUGAAAACCCGUAAAGGGCGCAAAAAAAAAGGGAGAGGCCAAGGUGAAAACCUGUAAAAGGGCGCCUUAAGACCAAAGGGGUUUUUGAAUUGAAAACCCACAAAGGGCAAUUCAAAUUUCAAUCCAAACUGGGGCAAGCGGCAGUCUCACUACACUUGAAUCGACAAAGAAGAGAUAAGCUACAUCUUGGGGCAUCAACAAAAUGCUAUAGAUCCCUUAAGAGUGUGCCAAGUUUAAAAGGGUCCUCAAGGAGUUCGUACAGGAAAGCUCAAACUGUGAAAUCUGGGGCACCUAUUCUGUUCCUUUCAUCCGUUUUUAUAUCUCAAACAAUGUCUACUUUCUUUGUUGAUACAUCUUUCGCAAAUUUUGACUCGAAUAAAUUUCAGUUCUACCUAUCAUUAUAAUCUUUUUCGAGUAUUUUUAUUGAAAUAAUGAUUAAUGAACUAAUAAUGCUCUCAAAAGAAGGUUUUGCAUAUUACUUUGAAAGGUUUCUAAACAAUACGAGAACCUAAAACAGGACAAUUAUUUAGAACUCACCGAGCUUAAAAGGGCUAGAAACGUGUGAGAAAUAAUUGAUUAACCGCAUCUUCAAGUCCUCUUUUACCGAGCUGAACAAAAAGGCAUAUGUCAGGGAUGUUACCUUAGUAAAUAACAAGCGAUGACAGCCCAAAAGUUAAAAUGGAUCAUUCUCAUGACAUUGUGCAUUUUGUGCAUUUAACAUCCAUCAUACAUGUAGUUAGGAGCAUUUGAUUCAUAUUAAUCAUGGCAACCUAAUCAUCUAGCAUAAGCAUAUCACUCUUCUACAGAUGGAUUCCCAGUGGACAAGGUAGCAAGAUUACAGAUAUCAUCAGCCUUAUCUUCACUGGGCAGGAGUGGAGCAGGCUAAAUAUCAGAUCUUAUCUUCAUUGAGCAGGAGUGAAGCAGAUCAAAUUUUGGAGAAUCUUAUCUCCACGUACCGGCGAUGGAGCAGAUUCCAAUCAUCAGCUUUAUCUUCACUGAGCAGGAGUAGAGCAGGCUAAAUAUACCAGGUCUUAUCUUCACUGAACAGGAGCGGAGAAGAUCAAAUUUUGGUGAAUCUUAUCUCCAUGGAUCGACAAUGGAGCAGAUUUCAGCCACCAGUCUUAUCUUCACUGAGCAGGAGUGAAGCAGAUCAAAUUAUAGCAAAUCUUAUCUUCGUUGAGCAGGAGCGAAGCAGAUCAGAUUUCAGCAGAUCCCACCCCACUGAACAGGAAUGGAAUGGAUCAAGUCUCAAUAAAUCGUAUAUCUACAAAGUAGCAAUGAAGCAUCUGGAAGUAAUAGGAUGCAGGGGGUUAAAACGAGGCUACUUGAAGAAAAGAGGCAAUCAAGAAAUCAAGACAUGAUGGGGCCAGGCAAAAUUGGCCCUUCUAAGUCUUUGCUCUAUUCUCGUUACACGACAAUGAGCAAAGAGGGGCAGCUGUUGGACCAAUUUUCUUUGCCUAGCCCACUAAUCAAACCCAUUAACCACUAGCCCAAUCCUAUAACCCAAAAUAGCCCAAAACCAAAACAAAAUUCACCUCAAUAUCCCAAUCCCCACAUCGUACGUGCCUCCACCAUCCACCGCACCUCCGAGACGUGCACUACCAACAGUCCCUCUUUGUCACGCCUCGUGCUUCCGAGAUAUCCGCAACAACACCUAUAACAGGAAGCAAACAGAUAGCAACCAAUAGAAGAUUUUAUUUGUUUUUCUAGGCUAUAAAAGCCAUUUUAAACAAUGUAAAGGGGUCAAUUUUUGUUUACUACAAAAAAUCAGAGAGAAAUAUACGAAAACAGCAAGUUUUGAGUAAAAGCUUUCAUACAUUCGAAUAGAAUAAUGUGGUUACAAUCUUUUCUUUUAGUUUUUUUUAUCUUUAGAGCUUUUUGUGGAUCUAUCUUGCAUUUUUGAAAAACAGAGUUAAAAAAAAUAAAAAGAUUUUAGGAGGGCCUUACCUGGACUCCCGUGCGUGCUGCUGGCCACCAAAUCCAGUGGUGGAGCGACAGCGAUUGAAGGUUGUGAUAAUGGGCAUGGUUCAUGGCCCUAGCAAAAGAAAAAGGGUGAAAGUCCCUUUG
rnacentral:lncRNA from 1 species